CCCUUAGAUGUCCGGGGCUGCACGCGCGCUACACUGACUGGCUCAGCGUGUGCCUACCCUACGCCGGCAGGCGCGGGUAACCCGUUGAACCCCAUUCGUGAUGGGGAUCGGGGAUUGCAAUUAUUCCCCAUGAACGAGGAAUUCCCAGUAAGUGCGGGUCAUAAGCUUGCGUUGAUUAAGUCCCUGCCCUUUGUACACACCGCCCGUCGCUACUACCGAUUGGAUGGUUUAGUGAGGCCCUCGGAUCGGCCCCGCCGGGGUCGGCCCACGGCCCUGGCGGAGCGCUGAGAAGACGGUCGAACUUGACUAUCUAGAGGAAGUAAAAGGCGUAACA
rnacentral:rRNA from 1 species